UUACUUACCUUGACGGUGACGGGGUCUUUGGCUGAUCGUUAAGGGUCAUGGCCUAGGUCAGUGACUUCCAUUGCACUUUGGAAGGGCGCUCGCCUAAGAUCUAUUCUCACAGAGGUAGAGUCUACGUCGUAAUUUGUUUCUGAGGGCCAAAAUUUUAUCUACUCAUC